UUGCACUCGGACGCACCGUCGGUUGCUAUGGGGACCCCUUCCUCACUUCCAGACCUGAACCAAUGGGCAUCACCGCUGAUGACCUCAUGCCCCAGGCCCCGGGAUUCUAUUGGCUGUUUGGAAGCCAGAGUGCACCCUUUUCAAUGGCGUCACCGCUGGGGAUCCCCCGACGACCCCAGCUAGCCUCUGGCCUACUGAAAGAAAGGCGCGCUGGAAGCUCACAAUGUGCUGAAUGAAUGAAAAAUAAAGGAAAGAAGGAACUAAUAAAAGGGAAGAAGAAAAAGCGGGGAGGUGACAGAAAAAGAACAAAACUUCAGGGUUGAAUCUGGAGAGGAAAAGGGAGAUUUGAAACCCCAGAAAGUGUGGAGCAGGAUUGCCGGUCGCAGAGACUCUCAGGCUCUCAAACAGGGAGACAGGGCGAGGCCUGCCCAGCCUCCUGGAACUGCGCCCUGGAACACGCCUCAACUUCUCGUGGGUAAGGCCCGGUGCCUGGAAGACCUCCCAGCGCCUGCAGCCCGUCUCGGCCCCAUGAGUGGAGUCGGCCCUGGCUUUCCAUGGGGACGCGCCCCGGGACUGAAUCAGCCGCCCGCGCAUGCUAUGAGGAAAGUGUGUAUAGGGAAGGCCGGCUUGGCCUGAGCGCCUGUGGCUGGGCGGGCCUAAGUUUAAGACUCCCCCCCUCCCGCCCGCCACCUCCCCAGCCCGGAUCCCGUGGUCGCUGAGGCAUCCGUCCUUGCACCUGCAAGGGGCUGGGCGGCCGGCAGGGGGGUGUUCGUGUCAGUGGGAGCGCCCGACAGUUAGGGAGUGCGUCUGAGUGCGGGGAAAGCUGACUGGGCCCCGCGUCUCUUUCGCACAUGCGUUCUUAUCAGCGGCGCAUCCGCGCGCCAGCCCCAGCCGCGGGAGCGAGCGCGCCCGCCUGGUUCUGCGAAAAGGGGGGUGGCCUGGGGCCGCUGGGAGCCGGGUGAGACCCCCACAGUUCUCAAUCCAGGGAAGGGGCUGCUAACCAGUCGCUCCCAGUCUACUCCGCCUAUGGCUUCACUUGGGAGGGGCGGAGGUAGCAGUAAGCCGGUUUCCAUGGCAACGUGUAGACACCCUCCUGGAUGACAGUAAACGUGGAACUUGAACACUUGAACCCAGGACCUGAAGACCUAGCCCAUAGCUUCUCCUUCAGCCGACUAUACCCUCUCCUUCGCGCCCCAGACCCUCGCCCCCGCUAAAGAUCAAGGUUUGGGGUGAAGGCCCUGAUACACGCACCUACCUACAAGAGGCAUUUUCUGAAAGGUGGCCUCGAAUGGGGGAAGGGACUGACUGGAGUCUGCUCUGCCCGCGGUGCUGCCCUCCACCGAAGGCCUCAGCCAGAGCAAUGGAAUUAACAUGAACGAUGGCAGCCGAAACGGGUGCAUGGUGGUGGGGGAGAGGGCCCCCGCCCCCUCCAAGAGAGACCGGGAUCUGACCUAGGUGUGCAAAGGGGUGGGGGAGGGGUUCGCAAACCCUAGCACCUGUGUCGGUCUCUUGACCCCUAGCGCCCUCCCUCC
rnacentral:lncRNA from 1 species